CCACUCCCACAACAUGUUUUUUUCCCCCCUUACUAUCAGCCUUGGAUAAAUUAUGGAGGAGUUCCUCAUGUAAACUUCCAACAAUUUCUACAACAAGAUUUCGAGGAUGCCAAUCGGACGGAAUUUUCAGCAAAUGAUCCCAACACAUGAUUAAAACUAGCUUGUGUUUUGAUGUAUUAUUUUGCCCCACAAAAGGCUGAAAUUUUAAUUGGUGCCAAAACUAAGGACGGCUGUAUGAUUUUGAUCCCAUUUAGUUGUGCUGGACAAAGACUCAUUUAUUCUACAGCAUUUUAAAUUGACCAUUUUUCUUCUUUUGCUCUAUUUCAGAAUCAGUUGAAAAGACCAUGAAAGCAUG
rnacentral:lncRNA from 1 species